rnacentral:rRNA from 1 species
AGUAACGCGUGAGUAACCUGCCUUACACAAGGGGAUAGCCGUUGGAAACGACGAAUAAUACCCUAUGAAACUAUCACUUCGCAUGAAGCGAUAGUCAAAGUGUUAGCGGUGUAAGAUGGACUUGCGUCUGAUUAGCUAGUUGGUGAGAAAAAGCCCACCAAGGCAACGAUCAAUAGCCGGCUUGAGAGAGUGUACGGCCACAUUGAGACUGAGACACGGCCCAG